UUUUUUUUUACCAGGGACUGAAGAAACCUUAUAAUCCUAUACUUGGUGAGACUUUCCGUUGUUUAUGGAUUCAUCCCAGAACAAACAGCAAAACUUUUUAUAUUGCUGAACAGGUGUCCCAUCAUCCACCAAUAUCUGCCUUUUAUGUUAGUAAUCGAAAAGAUGGAUUUUGCCUUAGCGGUAGUAUCCUGGCUAAGUCUAAGUUUUAUGGAAACUCAUUAUCUGCAAUAUUAGAGGGAGAAGCACGGUUAACUUUCUUGAAUAGAGGUGAAGAUUAUGUAAUGACAAUGCCAUACGCUCAUUGUAAAGGAAUUCUUUAUGGUACAAUGACAUUGGAGCUUGGUGGAACAGUCAAUAUUACAUGUCAAAAAACUGGAUACAGUGCAAUACUUGAAUUUAAACUAAAGGUUAGUAGACA
rnacentral:lncRNA from 1 species